rnacentral:rRNA from 1 species
CCUGGCGGCCUUAGCGCGGUGGUCCCACCUGACCCCAUGCCGAACUCAGAAGUGAAACGCUGUAGCGCCGAUGGUAGUGUGGGGUCUCCCCAUGCGAGAGUAGGGAACUGCCAGGC